rnacentral:lncRNA from 1 species
CUCUUUCUAUCCUCCCACUCGUCCCUGUCUUGUCUUCCAGAAGAACUUGCACUCCGCUUUCUCAGGAAAUAAGGGCAUGAGUUUGGGGCAAAAGCACAAAACAUAAUGGGGAAAGAAUAAACAAGUCACAACAGAAUGUGAAAUACACGAAGAGUGACUGGGUGUAUCAAGAGCUGGUGCUAGAACAGAGCAUUCGUACUAUGAGGCCGCAGCAACCCAGGUGCCUCCUAUUCUUCUGGCUGGUUAUAACAAGCUAUUGAAAUUCACUUUGU